CAGCAGCCGCGGGAAUACGUAGGUGGCAAGCGUUGUCCGGAAUUAUUGGGCGUAAAGCGUGCGCAGGCGGUUAUAUAAGACAGAUGUGAAAUCCCCGGGCUCAACCUGGGACCUGCAUUUGUGACUGUAUAGCUAGAGUACGGUAGAGGGGGAUGGAAUUCUGCGUGUAGCAGUGAAAUGCGUAGAUAUGCGGAGGAACACCGAUGGCGAAGGCAAUCCCCUGGACCUGUACUGGCGCUCAUGCACGAAAGCGUGGGGAGCAAACAGGAUUAGAUACCCGCGUAGUCCCUGUCUCUUAUAC
rnacentral:rRNA from 1 species